GCUGGUGAGUGAUUGGGCCUACUCCCUUAUGGGGCUUGUGCUCAUAUCUGAUCCGGAUCACCCUUGAGUUGCCGGCCCAGGCUCGUGAAGUCGAGACGCCUCUCGAGUGUAUGAUCUGAUGGGCUUUGGACCUGUGGCCUUCUUUUGGACCCAACCUUACUCUUGGGCUAGGAAAGAUCUAGAAGUUAUCAAUUGCCCCUUUACCUCCUCAUCAGUUAUUCCAUGACUGGUGAGGGGGUAAAUACUUU
rnacentral:lncRNA from 1 species